rnacentral:rRNA from 1 species
GUGAGGAAUUUUGCGCAAUGGCCGCAAGGCUGACGCAGCAACGCCGCGUGGGUGAUGAAGGCCUUCGGGUCGUAAAGCCCUGUCAGGUGGGAAGAAAGGCCUGGAGAGGAAAGGUUUCAGGUUUGACGGUACCACCAGAGGAAGCACCGGCUAACUCCGUGCCAGCAGCCGCGGUAAUACGGAGGGUGCGAGCGUUAUUCGGAAUUACUGGGCGUAAAGCGCGUGUAGGCGGGGGGACAAGUCUGAUGUGAAAGCCCUGGGCUUAACCUGGGAAGCGGAUUGGAAACUGUUUUUCUUGAGUACUGGAGAGGAAGGGGGAAUUCCCGGUGUAGAGGUGAAAUUCGUAGAGAUCGGGAGGAAUACCAGUGGCGUAGGCGCCCUUCUGGACGGUAACUGACGCUGAGACGCGAAAGCGUGGGGAGCAAACAGGAUUAGAUACCCGUGUAGUCC